AUGAGUUGCUUCCAACUCACCAAGAAAUUGUGCGGGAACCUGACAUCUAUUUCCUCUAACUUUUGGUGGGGCGAAGCUAACGGUGAGAAAAAGGUACACUCGAUCGCUUGGCAGAAAAUGUGUGCGAGCAAACGUGAGGGUGGUAUGGGUUUUCGUGAUAUGGAGGUUUUUAAUCAAGCUCUAUUGGCAAAGCAAGCGUGGAGAAUUAUGCUUGUCCCUUCUUUGUUGUGUGCACGAGUCCUCAAGGCUCGAUAUUUUGCGGAUGGGUCUAUCCUCAAUGCUACAUGUCCGAGUGGUGACUCCUACACCUUCAAAAGCAUUUUGUUUGGUCGGGACCUGUUGUUGGAGGGACUUAUUUGGAGAGUGGGAGACGACUGA
rnacentral:rRNA from 1 species